UGUACCAAAGACUGAAGGCGGUGGGUGGAGAACUGGGCGGGAUUAUUAAGGAGGCACAAAGUUCCUGGAAACCAAAACCUCGCUGCAAAAGGGACACGUUCCCACGUCCAAACCGGAGGCUAGGAGCAUCGAAUGAGCAUGCCCUUCCUGGCCAAUCUGAAGACUUGGGGGAAAAAAUGAAUCACCUAUGAAAGUGUACACGGCCUCUGAGACCAUGAUAGCAACUAUGGGAGAGGAAUUCUGGAGAAAGAUCAUUCCAGAGUAAGAAAUGUUUGUCAGUUAAGACUGACAGCUGUGGAUUCAAGAUUCUGCCAACCUUUUGGAGUGUGCCAUUCAAAGACAGACUGUGGUCCUUAUCUUGAAAACAAUGGUGUACAAUGACCUGAGGGAUUUCCA